UCCCUAGUCUCUUCCUUGAUGUUCUUUAAACUAGAACACACAACAAAUAAGAACCCCAACCCAUAACCAAAAAACCCCAUGCAGCCUUCAUCAAGAUUUAGUGUUCCCAUGAGAUUGACAUCAAGAAGAAGCACCACAAACACGUGCUUUGGAAGCAGCACAUCGACAAGGCCAACAUUGUCCACUACGUUCUUCAUAGCUUCAAAGUCCCACACGUUCGUUGUGAUCGUUGUCACCUCGUUCCCCAUGGCAAGCCACAUCAUGUUUUGCGUCUCCUCUAGCUUCUUCGACGAUGCAUGAGGAUCAAUUCAUGCACGCUCUUCAUUGCGUGGCACGCCAACGCCAGUUUGGUGUCGUUCGAUAGUUGCGCUUUGGCUUGGAAUGAGGCUACCAAAUUUAGAAGAAGCUUCUCCAAGCCAUUGAAGACUUUGUAGUACAGACAACGAGAGUGGCUAGAAAUACACGAGAACGCGAGACUUGUUGAGAUCGAAUGUUAG
rnacentral:lncRNA from 1 species